GAGCAAAGUCUAGAGCUGCAAAGAGGCACCUUGAGGAGAGGAGGUCGCAAAAUUGAGAGGAGUCGCGGGACGAAGAGGACUCCAGAGGAGGCAGGUGAACCCCGAGAGCAGGAGUGAAGCCGGGAAAAACACUGCUGAAGAAUGCUGAUGUGGCAGUGAAACAGCCCAAAAGGAAGAGGAAGCUGAGUAUGGAUUCCAAAGAGCACUGAAUCUGGAAGGCUGCCUGGCCCUGCAGUGGCUGCACAGGACCCCUGGUCUUGGGAGCAGUUCUUGAAAGAGGAGGCGGCUGCAGCAGCACCCAUGGAGCUGUUUUCCAAGGUGUGUGGUUACUGUCUGAUGAUUGUUUAAGCUGCUAUGAUUUUUGGACCAAUGCCAGUUCCUCUGACAUCCAUCCAGUAAGGUGGAGUGAAAGGAGCAAACAUGAACUGCACAUCCCUGAAGCACGGGCCAGUGCCUGAAGACUUUCGGAUUGCAGUGAAGCUGGAACCCGUCGACAAGAAGAACCCCUCCUUGGUGUGUGUGGCAACCGUGGCAGAUCUUGUUUGGAGACCGCUUGCUAGUGGAUUUCCACAAUUGGGAUGAUAGUUUCCAUGACUGGUGUGAUGGGAAUAGUCCUUAUGUCCAGCCAGUUAGUUGAUGUUGGGAGCAAGAAAGGGCUCUGACAGCACCACAGUGUGAGCAGGCCAGCCGGCUGGGUUUUCCUUGAAGUCAUCUCUGUGUGGCUGAGUUUGUACAGUCUCUGCUGGGCUACGAAGAACAUGCCAAGUGCUUCAAGAAAGAGGUAGGAAAUAUAAAAAUUAUAUGUAUUUCUCUACUUCCAAGCCCAGAAGUGUUUUGUUCCCAUUGACUUCAGCGUAAACAAGAGUGGUUUGGGGAGGCAAGAGAAAGCGGUCCAGGCCAGAGGGGGCCCAGCGGGGCAGCCUCUGUCUGUGUCACUGACAUGAGCUGUGCUUUGUCACUGGAGGCUGCAGCCUAAGCUCUGCAGCUGCUCAUGACAGGGGCUAUUGCCACAUGUUAAUCAGUUAACUCCGGGGCUGGGCCCCUGCACUGUGACUUCAGCUGGGGGCAGGGAGGACCUGCCUUGGGGAGGAGCACUGGCUUGUCGUGCCCUGCCCAGCCCCUGCUCAGGGGACACAGAAGCCACACAAUCCUUCUGUGGAGCUUCUGCUUCCACACUCCUCUCGUUUGAACUGCUUACGGAAGUUGCUGUCUGUUCUGGGCCCUGACUUGAGAAUUGUCAUCCUUGGGUCCUUGCAGUGACUUGGAGGACAGGGCAGAUGGCCGAUGGGUAAGCUGGGGUGUGGCGUGGAAAGGAUUCCAGCCCACAUCCAUCUGCUUCCAGGGCUCCCGCCAUUGCUCUAGAACCCUCCACCACUGUUGUUCUAGAACCCUCCAAGAAAACUGCAGGCACAGGGACCCCUCUGAGGCUGUCAGGGCAUGCGUGGUGCUGGGAAGGUACUCUCUGAAUGCUGUGUCCUGGGACCCUCAGAGCUGACAAGCCCUCUGUUUCCAGGGAGUUCAGCACCAGAGCCAUUGCGGCUUUGGUCUGGAACUGCCCUUGGAACGUGGGGCUCACUGGCCCACCUGAGCCCAGCCUCACACACAUGGGUGCAAAGACUUCAAGUAUUUUAACUAUGUGUUAAAAUACUUUAUACAACAUGAUAGAGUCUAUAUCACUUUAUACUAUGUAAUACAGCAGUCAGGCAAGUUUAAUUUUACAAACUAAAACAGAUCUUUCUAUAUCAUCAUAUGUUCUGUUGCUUAACAGUCCAUGAAAAAUUUCCCAAAACAUUAACUGUUUCAUUAAGACAUGAAUUUUGAUGACUGCCUGGUCCCCCAUCCUAGAUGACAUUGUCAUUUAUUUCCUUUUGCUGCUUCUGGAGUCUCCAGUCUGCAGUAUUGAACUGUGACAAACAACUUUGAUGUGUCCUCAUUGCACUCCGUUCUCAUGGGAAACAUUCCAGGAGAUUCACUUGGUAGAUGAAAGUGGGUUAUUUUCUAAGGCCCUUAAUAAAAUUCAGUCCAUAGAUCAGUGGAACAGGAUAGAAAGACCAGAAUUAAACCCAUGCACCUGCAGUCAACUAAUCUAUGACAAAGGAGGCAAGAAUAUACACUGGAGAAAAGACAGCCUG